UAGGGAAUCUUCGGCAAUGGACGAAAGUCUGACCGAGCAACGCCGCGUGAGUGAAUAAGGUUUUCGGAUCGUAAAACUCUGUUGUUAGAGAAGAACAAGGACGUUAGUAACUGAACGUCCCCUGACGGUAUCUAACCAGAAAGCCACGGCUAACUACGUGCCAGCAGCCGCGGUAAUACGUAGGUGGCAAGCGUUGUCCGGAUUUAUUGGGCGUAAAGUGAGCGCAGGCGGUUUCUUAAGUCUGAUGUGAAAGCCCCUGGCUCAACCGGGGAGGGUCAUUGGAAACUGGGAGACUUGGGUGCAGAAGAGGGGAGUGGAAUUCCAUGUGUAUCGGUGAAAUACGUAGAUAUAUGGAGGAACACCAGUGGCGAAGGCGGCUCUCUGGUCUGUAACUGACGCUGAGGCUCGAAAGCGGGGGGAGCAAACAGG
rnacentral:rRNA from 1 species